rnacentral:rRNA from 1 species
UACGGAGGAUCCAAGCGUUAUCCGGAUUCAUUGGGUUCAAAGGGUGCGUAGGCGGACUGAUAAGUCAGUGGUGAAAGCCUGUUGCUUAACAACAGAACUGCCAUUGAUACUGUCAAUCUUGAGUACAUUUGAUGUGGGCGGAAUGUGUCAUGUAGCGGUGAAAUGCUUAGAUAUGACACAGAACACCGAUUGCGAAGGCAGCUCACAAAACUGUAACUGACGCUGAGGCACGAAAGCGUGGGUAUCAAACAGG